AGGGUCCCCAGGGAGAGCCCGGCCCUCCAGGACAGCAGGGUAACCCAGGUGCCCAGGGUCUUCCAGGCCCCCAGGGUGCCAUCGGCCCGCCAGGAGAAAAGGGUCCCUUGGGUA